AGGAGCUAAAUUGGGCCUGAGCAGCUGGAAGGCAGGAGAAGCAGCCUGGGAGAGGUAUCCAAGAAGGGAACUGCACAGGACGAGCAGCUGGAAGGCAGGAGAAGCAGCCUGGGAGAGGUAUCCAAGAAGGGAACUGCACAGGACGAGCAGCUGGAAGGCAGGAGAAGCAGCCUGGGAGAGGUAUCCAAGAAGGGAACUGCACAGGACGAGCAGCUGGAAGGCAGGAGAAGCAGCCUGGGAGAGGUAUCCAAGAAGGGAACUGCACAGGACGAGCAGCUGGAAGGCAGGAGAAGCAGCCUGGGAGAGUAUCCAAGAAGGGAACUGCACAGGACGAGCAGCUGGAAGGCAGGAGAAGCAGCCUGGGAGAGGUAUCCAAGAAGGGAACUGCACAGGACGAGCAGCUGGAAGGCAGGAGAAGCAGCCUGGGAGAGGUAUCCAAGAAGGGAACUGCACAGGACGAGCAGCUGGAAGGCAGGAGAAGCAGCCUGGGAGAGGUAUCCAAGAAGGGAACUGCACAGGACGAGCAGCUGGAAGGCAGGAGAAGCAGCCUGGGAGAGGUAUCCAAGAAGGGAACUGCACAGGACGAGCAGCUGGAAGGCAGGAGAAGCAGCCUGGGAGAGGUAUCCAAGAAGGGAACUGCACAGGACGAGCAGCUGGGAAGGCAGGAGAAGCAGCCUGGGAGAGGUAUCCAAGAAGGGAACUGCACAGGACGAGCAGCUGGAAGGCAGGAGAAGCAGCCUGGGAGAGGUAUCCAAGAAGGGAACUGCACAGGACGAGCAGCUGGAAGGCAGGAGAAGCAGCCUGGGAGAGGUAUCCAAGAAGGGAACUGCACAGGACGAGCAGCUGGAAGGCAGGAGAAGCAGCCUGGGAGAGGUAUCCAAGAAGGGAACUGCACAGGACGAGCAGCUGGAAGGCAGGAGAAGCAGCCUGGGAGAGGUAUCCAAGAAGGGAACUGCACAGGACGAGCAGCUGGAAGGCAGGAGAAGCAGCCUGGGAGAGAUGAGGAAACAGGCUCAGAGACAUGAAGAAACUAACCCAGGAGUGGGAGAUCCAGGACCUGAACUCCGGCCGUGGCCUAUCAGAUGCUUCUCAAAUUCCUCCCCUUGCCCACACCUCUGCAGAGCCUAAUGGAAUUGAAGUAUUGGCUGACUAUCUGGCAGGUGUGAGGAAACAGAAGGAUGAAGGGCUGGGCUAUAAGAACAUACAACAUUGAGAGCCCAGAAAACGGUGUUGUGUGGAACCCAACACUCAUCUUCAUUGUGUACUCGGAUGGUUCAGAGAAUAAAGCAUUCCAUCCAGCAGCAAGAACAGUUCAGGGUACUGUGGUGAACUCGGGUCUGGAGUGGCAGAGAAGGCCCUGGGGUCUGAGUGGACCCCAAGCUGACUGUGACUCAGCUGGCUGAAGAGGAGGAUGAUCCUAUAAGGCUA
rnacentral:lncRNA from 1 species